UACGUAGGGGGCAAGCGUUGUCCGGAAUCAUUGGGCGUAAAGAGCGUGUAGGCGGCCAGAAAAGUCCGCUGUGAAAACUCGAGGCUCAACUUCGAGCUGUCGGUGGAAACUUUCUGGCUAGAGUCCGGAAGAGGAGAAUGGAAUUCCUGGUGUAGCGGUGAAAUGCGCAGAUAUCAGGAAGAACACCCGUGGCGAAGGCGCACACCUGGCCCGAUACUGACGCUGAGGCGCGAAAGCUAGGGGAGCAAACGGG
rnacentral:rRNA from 1 species